rnacentral:rRNA from 1 species
GAUGAACGCUGGCGGCGUGCCUAAUACAUGCAAGUCGAGCGAAUGGAUUAAGAGCUUGCUCUUAUGAAGUUAGCGGCGGACGGGUGAGUAACACGUGGGUAACCUGCCCAUAAGACUGGGAUAACUCCGGGAAACCGGGGCUAAUACCGGAUAACAUUUUGAACCGCAUGGUUCGAAAUCGAAAGGCGGCUUCGGCUGUCACUUAUGGAUGGACCCGCGUCGCAUUAGCUAGUUGGUGAGGUAACGGCUCACCAAGGCAACGAUGCGUAGCCGACCUGAGAGGGUGAUCGGCCACACUGGGACUGAGACACGGCCCAGACUCCUACGGGAGGCAGCAGUAGGGAAUCUUCCGCAAUGGACGAAAGUCUGACGGAGAAACGCCGCGUGAGUGAUGAAGGCUUUCGGGUCGUAAAACUCUGUUGUUAGGGAAGAACAAGUGCUAGUUGAAUAGGCUGGCACCUUGACGGUACCUAACCAGAAAGCCACGGCUAACUACGUGCCAGCAGCCGCCGUAA